rnacentral:rRNA from 1 species
AACGAACGCUGGCGGCAGGCUUAACACAUGCAAGUCGAGCGCCCCGCAAGGGGAGCGGCAGACGGGUGAGUAACGCGUGGGAAUCUACCCAUCUCUACGGAAUAACGCAUGGAAACGUGUGCUAAUACCGUAUACGUCAUUCGGGAGAAAGAGUUAUACGGCGAUGGAUGAGCCCGGGUUGGAUUAGCUAGUUGGUGGGGUAAAGGCCUACCAAGGCGACGAUCCAUAGCUGGUCUGAGAGGAUGAUCAGCCACACUGGGACUGAGACACUGCCCAGACUCCUCCGCGAGGCAGCAGUGGGGAAUAUUGGACAAUGGGCGCAAGCCUGAUCCAGCCAUGCCGCGUGAGUGAUGAAGGCCCUAGGGUUGUAAAGCUCUUUCACCGGUGAAGAUAAUGACGGUAACCGGAGAAGAAGCCCCGGCUAACUUCGUGCCAGCCGCCGCGGUAACAC